AAAGUACUCCCUCCGUCCGGAAAUACUUGUCCUAGAAAUGGUUGUAUCUAGACUUAUUUUAGUUAUAGAUACAUCCAUUUUAUCCAUUUUUAGGACAAGUAUUUUUGGACAGAUGGAGUAUCAU
rnacentral:pre_miRNA from 1 species